rfam:Oryctes borbonicus contig4492, whole genome shotgun sequence.
AAAUCGGUUCUUUUUAGAACCCACAUUAUGUUCAAAAAAACGGAA